rnacentral:rRNA from 1 species
UCCAGACUCCUACGGGAGGCAGCAGUGAGGAAUAUUGGUCAAUGGGCUUACGCCUGAACCAGCCAAGUCGCGUGAGGGAAGACUGCCCUAUGGGUUGUAAACCUCUUUUGUCAGGGAGCAAUUGGCGCUACGUGUAGCGUUAUCGAGAGUACCUGAAGAAAAAGCAUCGGCUAACUCCGUGCCAGCAGCCGCGGUAAUACGGAGGAUGCGAGCGUUAUCCGGAUUUAUUGGGUUUAAAGGGUGCGCCGGCGGUUCAAUAAGUCUGAGGGGAAAGCCUGGGGCUCAACCGGCGACCCGCCGUUGAAACUGGCAGUCUCGAGUUGGAGAGAAGUAUGCGGAAUGCGCGGUGUAGCGGUGAAAUGCAUAGAUAUCGCGCAGAACUCCGAUUGCGAAGGCAGCAUGCCGGCUCCACACUGACGCUGAGGCACGAAGGCGUGGGUAUCGAACAGGAUUAGAUACCCUAGUA